AUUGAACGCUGGCGGCAGGCCUAACACAUGCAAGUCGAACGAGUGGCGGACGGGUGAGUAAUGUCUGUGAACCUGCCUGAUGGAGGGGGAUAACUACUGGAAACGGUAGCUAAUCCCGCAUACCAGCGGAUGUGCCCAGAUGGUAUUAGCUAGUAGGUGGGGUAAAGGCUUACCAAGGCGACGAUCCCUAGCUGGCCUGAGAGGGUGACCAGCCACACUGGAACUGAGACACGGUCCAGACUCCUACGGGAGGCAGCAGUGGGGAAUAUUGCACAAUGGGCGAAAGCCUGACGCAGCAAUGCCGCGUGUGUGAAGAAGGCCUUCGGGUUGUAAAGUACUGUCAGCGGGGAGGCGGUACCCACAGAAGAAGCACCGGCUAACUCCGUGCCAGCAGCCGCGGUAAUCC
rnacentral:rRNA from 1 species